GAUGAACGCUAGCGGCAGGCCUAACACAUGCAAGUCGAGGGGCAGCACAUAAAGUGGUUUACUACUUUUAGUGGCGACCGGCGGACGGGUGCGUAACGCGUAUGCAACCUGCCUCCAACAGGGGGAUAACGGAGAGAAAUUUCCACUAAUACCCCAUAAUAUCAGAAUCGGCAUCGGUUUUGGUUGAAAACUCCGGUGGUUGGAGAUGGGCAUGCGUUGUAUUAGAUAGUUGGUGAGGUAACGGCUCACCAAGUCAACGCUACAUAGGGGGACUGAGAGGUUAGCCCACCACACUGGUACUGGGACACGGACCAGACUCCUACGGGAGGCAGCAGUGAGGAAUAUUGGUCAAUGGGGGCAACCCUGAACCAGCCAUGCCGCGUGCAGGAAGACGGCUCUAUGAGUUGUAAACUGCUUUUACAAGGGGAUAAAUCGGUGUACGUGUACACCGUUGAAGGUACCUUGGGAAUAAGGAUCGGCUAACUCCGUGCCAGCCGCCGCAGUAA
rnacentral:rRNA from 1 species